rnacentral:rRNA from 1 species
CCUACGGGGGGCUGCAGUGGGGAAUAUUGGACAAUGGGGGCAACCCUGAUCCAGCCAUGCCGCGUGUGUGAAGAAGGCCCUCGGGUUGUAAAGCACUUUCAGUGAGGAAGAACGCCUGGUGGUUAAUACCCAUCAGGAAAGACAUCACUCACAGAAGAAGCACCGGCUAACUCCGUGCCAGCAGCCGCGGUAAUACGGAGGGUGCGAGCGUUAAUCGGAAUUACUGGGCGUAAAGCGCGCGUAGGUGGCUUGAUAAGCCGGUUGUGAAAGCCCCGGGCUCAACCUGGGAACGGCAUCCGGAACUGUCAAGCUAGAGUGCAGGAGAGGAAAGUAGAAUUCCCGGUGUAGCGGUGAAAUGCGUAGAGAUCGGGAGGAAUACCAGUGGCGAAGGCGGCCUUCUGGACUGACACUGACACUGAGGUGCGAAAGCGUGGGUAGCAAACAGGAUUAGAUACCCUAGUAGUC